rnacentral:lncRNA from 1 species
UUGGCCCACCUCCUUGAGCGCACUAAGUACGUGCAAGUUUUGAAUGAAGAUUCAAGAUCAAAGUUGUCAAAGGCAAAGGACGUAUAUCCCUAGAAGAACAAAAAGAAAAGACAGCUUCAAAGAAAGAAGAAGCAAGAACCCCCACAAAGAAAAAAAAAGGUAACUAUGAUAAAGGUGGGGAAUCAUCAUCCCCCAAAGAGAAAGAAAAAAGAAGGAAAAUAUAUCGAAAAGGGGAAAAACUCCAACACAAGAUUCAAAAUAAAUUGAAACAAAUACAAAACAAGGGGCAAAGAAGCACAAUAAAUAAGAUUGCGCAUCAAAGAGCAACAAAUGUCAAAAGCACGGAUACAGUGCAAUGCUCAUUGAGGAAUUAGUCACUUUUAUCCCAAAUGUCAUCCUACCCAACCCCAAGCCUACAUUACAAGCCAAUAACAAGUCCUACAAGAUCCUACUCUAAGUUUUCUCACAUUAGUGGAUACUUACAUGAAGGCCAAGCCUAUGAUAUCACAAUUACAUUCAUUGAAUUUAUUUCUGAGUGUGAGCGUAUAUCUCUAGACAUAUCCAAAUUCAAGAAAAAAAUAAUCUCAAAUAGGUGUGAGAACGAGACAUUCUUUCUAGAGAGGGCACUUGAAACAUGGGAACAGGCACAGUUCAAAAUCUUUUUUUGAAGCAAGACGAACAAAUCUUGACGAUACUUAGGUAUGUCUGAGGUACCACUCGAAGCUAUAGGAGUUACCCUGAAGUCGAUCUCGAUUAGAUGGAAAAGAGAUAGCGGGAUUCUUGUAUACACUACUAAUUGUUGGUACCAACUGUAGUCAAGACACAAUUAUAUCUUUUCAUUGUUCAACAUUUCUUACAAAGAAAAUACAAAACAAUCUUCUACAUUUUCAUUGUUCAAUAUUUCUUACAAAGAAAACACAAUGUUUUGUAUUUUUACCUUUCAGCAUUUCUUGCAAAUAAAACACAAAGAAAUUUUUUGCAUUUUUCAUCUUUCAACACAUUUUUACAAUGAAAACACAAAAAAAUAGUUUUAUUUCCUUUCAAACAUAUGCCUUCACAUACAUGCAUUACACUUUACAUGCAAGAUGGUCACCUCCAAAUACAGGCAAUUGAUUCUUCUUUUCGAGUUCUCACAUUCAAACAUAGUUAUUAUGCUUUUCUAUCAGGUGUUCUUAGAGCUCUUAAAUUUUCAUAGCCCAGCCAGUCGAGAGGCUGCUACCUUUUCAUAGCCCCGCCAUUUGAGAGGCUAUUACCUUUCAAAGCCCCGCCAAUCAAGAGACUUUUACAUUUUUAUAGCCCCGCCGGUCGAGAGGCUAUUACCUUUCAAAGCCCCAUCAAUCAAGAGACUUUUACAUUUUUAUAACCCCGCCAGUCGAGAGGCUUUUACAUUUUUAUAGCCCCACCAAUCGAGAGGCUAUUACCUUUCAAAGCCCCACCAGUCGAGAGGCUUUUACAUUUCCAUAGUCCCGGCUUUCGAGAGGCUAUUACCUUUCAAAGCCUCAAUAGUCGAGAGGCUUUUACAUUUCCAUAGCCCUGUCAGUCGAGUGGUUGUUACCUUUUGAAUCCCCACCAGUCGAGAGGUUUUUACAUUAUCAUAGCCCCAUCAGUCGAGUGGCUAUCACCUUUCAACAUCUCCGCCAGUCAAGAGGCUUUUUACAUUCUCAUAGCCCCGCCAGUCGAGAGGAUAUUACUUUUCAAAUCGCUCCGCCAGUUGAGAGCUCUUUUAUUUUCAUAGCCCCGCCAGUUAAGAGACUAUUACCUUCUAGUUUUUCCACCAAUCGAGAGUCAAUUAGCUCAUCGGUUGAUGACCUUAGUCUCCAUAGACAAUUGAGGACGACCAUCACAUAGUCUUCGUAGACAAUUGGAGACCACAAUCAACAUCACUCUACAUAGACAAUUGGAGAUGUCAUCAAGUCUUCGUAUACAAUCGAAGACAUCGUCAAUCACAUCAGUCUCUGUAGAUAAUUUGAGAUGACAAUCUACACCAGCCUCCAUAGAUAAUUAGAAAUAUCAUCAAGUCUUCGUAGACAAUUGAAGACACCAUCAUCCAACAUCAGUUUUCGUAGACAAUCGAAGACGUAAAUCAACAUCCAUCUCCAUAGGUAAUUGGAGGCACCAUGCAUCAAGUCUUUGUAGAUAAUUGAAGACAUCAUCAUUCAUCACAGUCUCCGUAAAUAAUUGUAGACGACAAUCAACAUCCAUCUCCAUAGACAAUUGGAGACGUCAUGCAUCAAGUCUUCGUAGACAAUCGAAGACAUCAUUAUCACAGUCUCUGUAAAUAAUCGAAGACAACAAUCAAAACCAGCCUCCAUAGACAAUUGGAGGUGUCAUACAUCAAGUCUUCGUAUACAAUCGAAGACAUCAUCAUUCAACAUCGGUCUUCAUAGAUAAUUGGAGAUGUCAUGCAUUAAGUCUUUGUAGAUAAUUGAAGACAUCUUUCAUCCAUCAAUAUCAGUCUUCGCAGACAAUCGAAGACACUUGUCAUUCAUCCUCAAGUCCCCAUGGACAAUCAGAGACAUCAUACAUCUUUUCAACAAAAGGUACAAUUCAGAACAACAACACUUUUUUUCAAAUCCCAUAUAUCAGACACUGGGGCAAAUUUCGAGAACCAUCUCAAAAUUUCCCCAUUUCCUUAUUUUGAACUACAUUGACCUGAUUCUCAUGAUACUUAAGAUAUGUAGGAGGCUCUAUGCAGAGUUUGGUCAUCACAACCUCACAAUUAUUCUUUCUCCCCAGCAAGUACACAAUCUUGCAUCCCCAGAAUCUCAUAGCUCGAUGCUGGGGCAAUUUUGAAAAGAACAUCGAAAAUAGAUGAACACUUCUGUUCCUAAAUAGUCCAUAUUUUAUUAAUUACUUCACACGGUCUCUCACUCUUAAUAGCAUGGCAAUUUUCCCAAUAUUUGAACUACACCCGACUUGAUUCUUAUGUAACUCGAGGUAUAUAGGCAAUUCUAAAUUAGAAUUCGGUCGAAUCCUCAUUAAAAGAUAAUUUUUUAUCGAGCAAAAUUGGCUGCACGUCAAUGUUUUCAUUUGAAAACUUAUACUGUCACACCCAUUUUUUAACACCAAAAAGAAAGAUUGAUUUAAAGUUAGAAAGGGUUUUUAUUUAAAGUGACAAAAUGAAGAUUUGUUCCGAAAAGGACUUUUUAUAUUCAAAACUCAGAGUCGCCACUUGGCAUAAUCUGGUGUGCCAAGUCACCUUUGGAAAAUCCUUUUCAGAACUGUUUUAACUCUUUAAAACUGGUUUGCAAACAAAGAUUCUGACUAAGGAAUUCUAUUGACCAAGGGGAAGGUGUUAGGCACCCCUCGAUCCCGUGGUUCAACCACGGUCGCUUGGUGGAGCGGAUCAGCUAAUUUAAUACUAUGAGUGUACAAACCACAUAAAACAAAUAAUAAACAAAUCAAACAAAAUGCAUCCAAAAAAAAAUAUAAAGUGCAGUCCAAUUAUACAAUCCAAAAAUAGAAAAAUGCGUAAAAAUAAAUCCUAUUCUAAACUAAUCCUAGACUAAUGCUCUACCCGACGCCUCGGGCCUUCAUCACGAACCUCCUCCUAGUACAAAAUACUUUAGGGCAUUUUUCGAUGAAUAAACACAAAUAUCUCGGGGCAUUCCCCAUCCAAAUGAUACUUUGAUCCAAAAAAAACUAUAAAAAUAAGCCAUUCAACACACAUUUUUCAACAUUCAACAUUUGAUGAGUUCUAAAUUUGCCUACCCGACCCUACUAUUUGCCUAUCUAUUUGAUGUCCUAAUCAUGAUACUACCGCAUUCGAGAAGGUUAAUAAACAUUUCAAAUCAACUCAAUCGAUGAAACAAAAUUAAUUCGAGUUCACUUAAUCAAGAUCAAUCCCUCCUUAAUUUAUUAUCGAUUACACAAUUACUCGAUUCUCAAUCAUAUAAUUAUUCACCUCAAAUAAUAAAUCGAUAUCAACAAACACUUAUGAUGAUUCAAACAGAUCAUUAUCAAACAAAACAAGGCUUACACCCAUCACCAAUUUCACACAUAAGGCAUCAAACGAUAAAGAUUAAUCAAGAACGAGAUAAGAAAUGGACCUCAAUUUUAUUCCGAACAAUUAGCGAUGGAUUGGAGCACACGAAUCAAUGAACCUCGACCAAAAUUUAACCUCGACGUCGAAACCCAAUUCAUAAAUCUCGACUCCGAAUUCUUUUUACCCAGACCCAUUUUCUCUCUGUAUUUUUAUGUAGGUCGUGAGAAGAGGAGCUGGACGAACUGCCAUGUGCUUGUUGGUUCACCAGCGAUUCGAGCUGAUUGGAGUGGUGUUUAACGUGAUUUAACUGGCGUAUUUUGCUGGUAGUGAUGGAUUUUUAGGGUUCCGUGAGGUUUUGGUCAUCGAAUUUCCUGCCAGUGGAGUUCUUUGAUAACUAUUAUUGCAUUGCCAGAGCUCCGACGAGCUUAACGGUGGUGACUAAUUUCCCCUUUCUCUAAUCUAUUCUCUCUGUCACGUUCUUUUUGCCUCUCCUCUCUUUGUUGUCAUCUUCUCCUUCUCUAAUCUAUUCUCUCUUUCGCGUCUCUACGUGUUAAUGUCACUGGUGAGUGUUAUCUGAGAGAUCUGUGUAUGCUUUAUGUGUGAAUAUGGUGAUGUGUGCUCUAUAUAUGAAUAUGGUGAUGAAAAGCCUAUGUGUUGGUAUAUCUUGUGAAGGGGAAUAUUGAUGAUGAUGAUGAGGAAUUGUUCCCUUUCUUUCUGUGUGUAUUUUCUAUGGUGGGAAUAUAAUGAUAAUAAUGAUGUGGGUCCCCUCAUGUGAAUGUUGUCUUGUAUAUUAAUGGAAAUGGUGAGGUCCUUUGUUUGUCUUUUUUGUUAAUUUGUUUACAAAGUGGAAUAAAAUAUGAAGGGUAGGGUAGUGAGGUGGUAUGGGGUAGUGAUGUGUUGUGAUGAAGUUUUAGGAUAAGGAAAUAUUAGGGAUUUAUUAAAAUUUUAUUAUUUUUGUAUUUUUGUGGGGCAUAAUCACACGGGUGGGGUGUAAGGUACCGUGAGGUUAAAAAAAUGGAUGAAUUAGGUUAUCGGGAGGGACAAAAUUACGUGUCUACAUCAUGCCUCUCUUUGCAUGUAAAUACAAAGUAUUUUCAUACAAAGAAGUAGACAAUGAGACAGAAUUUGACCCGACCAUUAUUCAAAGAAAGAAACAAAAGGAAGAAGGACAACCGAGUUGGAGAGUCGAGUGAGGUCCCGUCGAGGUUCCAGUCCGUGGCUCUAUCACUACAUCAAAAAUGAAAAUUAUAAGUUAAAACUUAAAAGAAAUUACAGAAAUCCUAUCUAUGCAGUUUCUUUGACUCUUGACUUGCUAUUUUAUCAUCCUGUUCUUCAGGCGGGCUCCUGACUUGCAAUUUCUUCAAUUUGUUGCUUGGUUUUCAAUUUCUUCCUCAUGUUGCUUGACUUUUCAGUUAUUCACCCUGUUCUUCAGGCAGACUCUUAACUUACAAUUUCAUCACCCUAUUCUUCAGGCAGGCUCCUGGCUUGCCGUUUCAUCACCCCGUUCUUCAGGCGGGCUCCUGACUAGCUAUUUCCAUAUGUUGUCUUUCAAUUUCUUCACUUUGUUUCUUGACUUUCAUUUUAUUCACCACGUUCAUCAGGAGGGCUCCUGAAAUCACAUCAAAACUAAAAAGAAAAUUAUCCCAAACAAAGAUUAUUAUAAAGAGAUUUCACUUGCCAGAAAAGUGAAGUUCCAAACACAAGAAUUAAAUUUUGCCCUAGUUUAUCAUCAAAGGACUUUUGUGAAAGUCGCAUCAUUAUAGUUAUCAAAGAUAAUGACUAGACUAAAAGGUACGCCUUAUAGAAAUCAAGGAGAAUGACUCGACUAAAAGGCACGCUUUAUAGGAAUCAAGGGAGAUGACUCGACUAAAGGGUACGUCUUAUAGGAAUCAAGGGGGAUGACUCAAAUAAAAGGCACGUCUUAUAGGAAUCAAGGGAGAUGACUCGAAUAAAGGGUACGUCUUAUAGGAAUCAAGGGGGAUGACUCGACUAAAAGGUACUUCUUAUAGGAAUCAAGGGGAAUGACUCGACUAAAAGGUACGUCUUAUAGGAAUCAAGGGGAAUGACUCAAUUAAAAGGUAUGUCUUAUAGGAAUCAAGGGGGAUGACUCGACUAAAAGGUACAUUUUAUAGGAAUCAAGGGGAAUGACUCGACUAAAAGGUACAUCUUAUAGGAAUCAAGGGAGAUGAUUCGACUAAAAAGUACGUAUUCGAGGGUUCAAGGGGAAUGACUCAACUAAAAGGUACAUCUUCUAAGGGUCGAGGGGAGAUGACUCGACUAAAAGGUACGUCUUCUAGGGGUCAAGGGGAGAUGACUCGACUAAAAGGUACAUCUUAUAGGAAUCAAGGGGAUGACUCGACUAAAAGGUACGUCUUAUAGGGGUCAAGAGGAAUGACUCGACUAAAAGGUACGUCUUCUAGGAAUCAAGGGGGAUGACUUGACUAAAAGGUACAUCUUCUAGGAAUCAAAGGGAAUGACUCGACUAAAAGGUACGUCUUAUAGGAAUCAAGGGGGAUGACUCGACUAAAAGGUACGUCUUCUAAGAGUCAAAGGAAAUGACUGGACUAGAAGGUACGUCUUCUAGGAGUGAAGGUUCAAUUUAAGAAGUGUAUCACCCAGCAAAUUAAAACUAAAAUCCCUGGACAAGAAAGUGUGUUUCCGAGGGAUAUAAGAUGAUGAAUUUUUACCAUGAUUUAAUUAUCAAACCUGUGCAGCAACAUUGCUUCCUACAUUUGUCAAAGCAAGAAAUUAGGGGCCUUGAUGUUUUGGCUUUGAAAUCCUUGAUUUGAAGGUGACAUGUGUUCCUGUUUUAUGCAAAGAAAAGUUGUGAGUUUAAAAACAUGAAGGCAGGUUUGUGGCUUUGGCUUUCAUGGCAAACGCUCUUGCCGUCAUCACAUUUAACCUUGCUUCCAACCAUUACAUAUAUCAUUGAUUUGAUGCAUCAUUGACCCAAACUCAGAUUAUUAAGAGUGACUUUGAAACAAACGCAGUAUCUUUGCUUUUCCAUGCUCUUCAGAUAAACCCUUUGAACUUUGGUAUUUCCAUGAGUGCCCAGACUUUUCUGUUGACAGAACUUUCUGUAUGCCUUAUUUCGGCUCACAAUCAUGUCUUUUGUAUAUGCUAGUUCUUUUGUCUUGCUUUGUGCAAUUAAAGAAGCUGGUAGCCAUUUUUGAAAUCUUUUCUCACUUGUUUUGACAUGGACUUGACUCAAAGACAAGAAACUAAAAAAAAGAAUGACAAUUUUUGUUUGGAUAACUGACUCAAUGACAAUUUUUAUUUGGAUAACUGACUCAAGAAAGAUAAAAUAAAAAUAAAAAGAAGAAAGAAAAGACAACGAAUGUCCCCUUUUGAAAUAAAGAAACAAAAAAUUCAUCUAAAAAUGACAGUCAACACUAAUGAUUAUGCCAUGCAUUUCGGAUUAAGCAGCUUGAUCUUUUCAUCCAAACUUUCUACCCAUUGUUGUUGAGCUAAUGGCCUUGAAACUGAGUUUCUUCCUUAGGUAAAUUGUAUUUAAGACCCCAUUCAGCUAGUGGCGCCUUGAAGGGUUUUUGCCAACAAGCUUCUCUCAUUUUCUUUUCCUCAGUUCACCAUUGCCUUAUGGUGUCUGUAAGGGUUUUCCACUAAUGAGACUCUCUUAUCUUCAUUUCCCUUAACUCACAGUUGUCUUACGGUGCCCGUGGGAGUUUUCACCGAUAAAACUCUCUCAUUUUUAUCUCUCUCAACUUAUCAUUAUCUUACGAUACCCGUGAGAGUUUUUACCAAUAAGACUCUCUCAUUUUUAUUUCUCUCCUGAUUUCUUAUGCUGAGGAAGACAAGUAGUUCCCAAAUACAUCACCAUAUCCCUUGCAUGCUUAGCCUUAACAUCUUCAAAGAUUGAUUUGAGGUCUUUCUUUGGUUGUAACUUGGCUUUUGGAUAGGGUUAGAAAGAAAGGAUGGCAUGGGGCCCAAAUAACACUUAAAGUAGGGUAGGACUUACAACUUUUGGAAUCAACUCAAACAAUGAGGAUUAACUAAUGCCCCAGUUUUUUUUUACUGCACAAUUCUAAAUUAUUUAUUUGGUUGGACCAAGCCCGGAGUAGGGCAGCCUAUGUAUCUCACCCCCGAAAGAGGAGAAUCAGGUCACACGUAGUUUCGGUGGCUUGUUCUUUUGCUUGAUUCUGAUUUUUUUUCUUUUAUUGCCUCUUUUAUUGACUUUUUUUUUCUUUUUGGGACCUUCUAACUCUAUUUUUUUAUGGACGCUCUUUUCUUUUCCUUCUUUUGGACACAUUUUUUCUCUCGUUUCUUUUUGAAACUUUCUGACUCUAUUGUUUUGCUCGAUAGUUUUUUUUUUUUUUGAGGUUUGUUGAAUCUAUCUUGAUUCUAAAAGAGGGGCAUGAAGGAAAAUAGGACUAAAUCUCAAAUGGGGUAAACAAAGGAUGACACAAUGUUUGGAUAGCAGAAUGAAAUGCCUUCGUCAUAUCAAUCCUUGAAAAUGCAAGUACAUAUUAUGCAAUAUAAAAGUGAGAGAUGAAGAUCAUUUGUGAUAUUUUUACAACGCUAAUUUUAACUGAGACUGUGCGUCGCUACUUGUUCUGCAAACUCCAUCUUUGUUGUACAUUUCUCAUGCUUUCGUGGAGCUAAUUUUUCUAUUCCUUUUUAUGUGGGAUCACCAUCCACUAUUUGACCUAAUUGAGACAUGUCUUUCAAUGCUGACCAAGUUAUUCUCACGAUUCUCAAAAUAAUUGCCUUAAUUUUUAAAGAAGGCUUCAACUUGAUCACCAAAUGCCCCAACACUUAUCUAUUUUCUCAGACGCUUUCUUUUUCUAACUUUAACCCUCUGAUUCAAUGCUCAUGCUUAAAGUGGAUUUUAAGAUCUGAUAGAAAAUUUCACUAGCAUGUCAUAUCACUAGAGUCAACAUAAAAUGUACAAUGUAAAGAAAACAAACAAACAACACAUAUUUAAAACACAAAGGAAAAUAGGACACUUCAUUUAGUUGAAACAAAAGAUAGAAGAGUUUGAACAUAAACGACAAAAGGACAAAAUAAGAUAGAUCUCGAACUACAACCCUGAAAUAAUUCGGAUAACAAAAAAUAAAACAAAACAAACUAUCAGACCUCUUCGUAGUAGGGAGAGGGAUGACUUCUCAAUUGCUUAACCUGACAUCUUAGCCACUGGUUUGCAUGUCAGCAUGACUAGAUUUUCCCUCACUAUCAAUGUUCUGCACCAUUAUUGAUCCAUCUUGAAUCAUAUUUUCAAUUUCUCUUUUCAAAUCUCGACAAUCUUCAAUACUAUGAGCCUGAGCAUCAGAAUAAUACGCACAUCGUACAUUAGGAUCAAAAUUUCUGGAACGCCGAUUAAGAGUACACCUAAGGAGAAGAGUGAUCAUAUCCCAUUGUACCAAUCUCUGAAAUAAACUGGCAUACGACUCUCCAAUUGGUGUGAAGCUAUCUUUUGACUUUUUCCUUAUUUCAUCAUUUGGAUUGGAUCAAAAAUCAGGCUUAGAAGAGUUUUGGUAUAUUUGUGGAGUUAGAGGAAGACUCUGAGGAGUUGGUGUAUUCCACUGUGGGUAACAUGGGGGUUAAACAUGUGGUUGUGCGUUAUAAACUGGAUACGGGGGUGGAGAAACAAAGUAUAAUAAAUUUUGGGAGUGAUUAUGUGGAGCUUGGGCAUGAACUUGGGUUUGAGCCUGAGAGUAAUGACAACGGGGUCUUCUUGACCGUGCCCGCUGUCCAACUAUAAUAGAAGAUGCAUCUUCCUCAUUCAGUGUCUCCCCAACACUUCCUGAACCCUUUUGAAUUACUUGAGUUACCACUUUGAAUGUUGCAAAACUCACAAUGCAACCAGUCUUAAUUCCCUCUUCUAUCAUCUCCCCCAUUUUAAGGGCCUCAAUAAAUGACUUACCUAAUGCAGGUAACAAGUGUUAAUAAUAUGUUUCAUCCUGUGCUUGAAUAAACACCUCCACUAUUUUUCUUUCUUUCAUUGGUGGUUUUACUCUAGCAGUUUGUUCGCACCAUCUGAUUGCAUACUCUCUGAAACUCUCAGUAUUCUUCUUUUUUAUAAUAGUUAGGUAUUUUUCGUCAGGGAUCAACUCGACAUUGUAUUGAAAUUGUUGCACAAAUCCAUUAGCUAGGCCAUCCCAACUAAUCCACUUGUCAAUGUCUUGGUCAACAAACCAUUCCAAAGCUAGGCCUGAAAGACUCUCCCCAAAAUAAGCCAUGAGUGGUUCUUCCUUUCCUCCAGCGCCCCUUAAUUGGUUACAAUAGCGCUUUAAAUAUGCCACUAGGUCUCCAUGUCCAUCGUAUUUCUUAAACUUUGGUAUUUUAAAGCCAGGAAGAAGGUUAACACCUGGAAACAUGCAUAAGUCCUUAUAUGAGAUACUUUUGUAACCCCUAAGUCUUUGCAAGUUCUUCAUAGUCAGUUCCAAACUUCUUAAUUUUUUGGUCAUUUCCUCUUGUUCUUCUGUCAUAACAGGCUUCUCAGUGUUAGGAGGAAAUUCAGGCAGGCGAGUAUCACCGUAAAGACCAGUCAACUUGAAUGUAGGCUCAGAAGUGUAACGCUGAUCACCUGUAAUAUUUAAUGCAGGCUCUCUUGUAGAGUAGUGAGCCACAACUUAUGGAAGAACAUCAAAAGUAGGAGCUUCAGGUGGAGGUUGCGCCGCAAAAAUAUGAACAACAGGUGGAGCCGAGCAUAUGGUAGUCUUGGAUUGGGGAGUGAGGAAAUGAACAUUGGAAAAGGUUGGAUAUUAUCGCCCCAGAGUCGAUCCUGAUGCAUAUUGUGGCAUAUCAACAAAAAUGGGAAAUUGUGCAUAUGACACGGGAGGAAAGCUAGAAAGAUAUUCCAAAUUAUCAGUGGGAACUGGAGGAGGUGACAACGUAUUAGCCCAAGCUCGAUGCAUUUCUAUCAUUUGCUGCCUUAAUUUCCAAAUCUCUUCAUUAGCUCCUAAAUUCUCAUUUCCCGAACUCCCUGUCUGAUUAGUGACAACAAACUCGGUAUCCUUGUUGGCCAUAAAUUUCUUUAUGACUUGGUGCAAUAUGGAGGCCCAUCCAAAAUGCCAUAAACCAACCACCUUAAACUAACUGGAUAAGAGAUAGUAAAUGCGUUAGAGUUCAACAUUUUUUCAAAACCUUUUUUUUUUCUUGAUAAGAUCACCGAACCCAAGAAGCACGCCUACGUAUCUCGCCCCCAAAAGGGGAGAAUCAAGUGUGCGUAGUUCGUGAAGUCUUGCCAAAAUGGCCAAUUAAAAUCUUUUUCUUUUUCUUUUUUCUUGAAACUUUAAGAAGAAAAGAAAAUAACAAAUUAUCAAAAGAAUUGACGAAAAUCAUUUUUGCAUUUUUCAGAUUUAAAUUUCCUAUACAAAAUGAAACCUAUGACAACCAAAGAAAAAUCAUUUUUUGAAUUUUCGAUUCUAAAUUUCAUAUGAAAAUGAAACUUGAAACUAUUAGAGGAAAAUCUUUUUGUGGUUUUCUUUUCGAAGAUGUAUAUGACACACCUACUCUAAAUGAAGAGUGAAAAAAAAAUCUUUUUAGGAUUUUUUUUUCAUAUUCCUAUACAAAAUAAAACCUAUGAUUACCAAAGAAAAUCUUUUUGAAUUUUCAAUUUCGAAUUUCAUAUGAAAAUGAAAAUUGAAACUAUUAAAGAAAAAUCUUUUUGCAGUUUUCUUUUAAAGAAAUAUAUGACACCUACUCUAAUAAAGAGUGAAGAAAAUCUUUUUUUUUUUUGAAUUUUUCAAAUAGGGUCCCCGAACCAACAAUAGGCUGCCUACGUAUCUCACUCCCGAGAGAGGAGAAUCAGGGGUGCGUAGUUCGUCCAGAUAGGACAAUUAAGAAUUAAAUGACAGAUUGACCCUAACUUAAGAGACACGACCAAAGACAGACAAAUAAAAUCUUUUUAGGGUUUUAAUCAGACACUUCACAUAAAACUUACAUCAACAACUAUGAAAGAAUUUUUUUUUUUUGAUAUUUUCAUUAUAUGAAAUGUACAAAACUUCUACCAUGUUUUUUUUUUUGAAUUUUCCUUUUAUAAAAAGCUCCUAAAAAAUGAUUUUUGGAAUUUUUAAAUUGUGACUGCAUGCUAAAGGAGAUAAAGGAAAAAUCUUUUUGAGGUUUUGUUUUUCAGUAAAUGCGUGAAAAAGUAAGAAAAUCAUUUUGAAUUUUUGGAUUGUGAAAAAAUAAAAGCCAUAAAGAACUCUAAUAAUUACGAAACUAUUUUUUUUCACUCCUUUCUUUUUUUUUUCUAUUUUUUUCAACAUUUCUUGCCUACGCACUUUACUUCUAACACAUGCUUUCCCCAAAUCAGUCCAUCAAAUGACCACGUUACCCUCAAAGAUACAACAUUUAGCACGUAGAGAUGCUUUAGAGAUGAGUCUCCUACAAAAGGCCACGUUGGUUUCGCUAGGUCUCAAUAUGAUGCAGAUAAGCAUGACCUAAAGGUUGACCUACGCUGGGGUCCACUAACAAGGCUGUUCGGGGGAGCGUAUGGUUGAUAGUGGAUUGCUUUAGCUGUCCACCUACUCCAUACAACCCAACGGAUCCCCCUCCUUAAAUAAAGGUGACUCAACUAUAGGUCGUGUACACACGUGUACUACGGACUUGUUGCAGAAAAAAAAAGACUCGAGUUAUGCAUAUGAUGCCAGAUAUAAAGCGGGUAACACAUAAAGUAAAAACUGUAAACAAAAAGUACGUAGGCACUCAACAAUGAUAAACAAUAACACAAAACAACACAAACAAAAUGUCUACACCUAUAUUACCAAACUAAGCCGAUACAACUCCAAAAUAAGCUCAAAUUCUGAAAAAUUCCCAGCAGAGUCGCCAGAGCUGUCACACCCACUUUUUAACACCAAAAAGAAAGAUUGAUUUAAAGUUUGAAAGGGUUUUUAUUUAAAGUGACAAAAUGAAGAUUUGUUCCGAAAAGGACUUUUUAUAUUCAAAUCUCAGAGUCGCCACUUGGCAUAAUCUAGUGUGUCAAGUCACCUUUGGAAAAUUCUUUUCAAAACUAUUUUGACUCUUUAAAACUGGUUUACGAACAGAGAUUCCGGCUAAGGAAUUCUAUUGACCGAAGGGAAGGUGUUAGGCACCCCUCGAUCCCGUGGUUCGACCACGGUCACUUGGUAGAGCGUAUCGGUUAAUUUAACACUAUGAGUGUACAAACCACAUAAAACAAACAAUAAACAAAUCAAACAAAAUGCAUCCAAAAAAAAUAAAUAAAGUCCAGUCCAAUUAUACAAUCCAAAAAUAGAAAAAUGCGUAAAAAUAAAUCCUAUUCUAAACUAAUCCUAGACUAAUGCUCUACCCGAUGCCUCGGGCCUUCAUCACGAAUGUCCUCCGGGUAUAAAAUACUUUGGGGCAUUUCCCAGCGAAUAAACAUAAAUAUUUCGGGGCAUUCCUCGGCCAAAUGAUACUUUGAUAUAAAAAAAACCAUAAAAACAAGCCAUUCAACACACAUUUUUCAACAUUCAACAUUUGAAGAGUUCUAAAUUUGCCUUACCGACCCUACUAUUUACCUAUCUAUUUGACGUCCUAAUCAUGAUACUACCACAUUCAAUAAGGUUAAUAAACAUUUCAAAUCAACUCAAUCAAUGAAACAAAAUUAAUCCGAGUUCACUUGAUCAAGAUCAAUCCCUCCCUAAUUUAUUAUCGAUUACGCAAUUACUCGAUUCUCAAUCAUACAAUUAUUCACCUCAAAUAAUCAAUCGAUAUCAAAAAACACUUAUGAUGAUUCAAAUAGGUCAUGGUCAAACAAAACAAGGCUCACACCUAUCACCAAUUUCAACACAUAAGGUAUCAAACGAUAAAGAUUAAUCAAGAACGGGAUAAGAAAUGGACCUUAAUUUUAUUUCGAACAAUUAGCGAUGGAUCAGAGCACAUGAACCAACGAACCUUGACAUCAAAACCCAAUUAGAAAAUCUCGACUCCAAAUUCUAUUUACCCAGACCCAUUUUCUCUCUGUAUUUUUAUGUGGGUCAUGAGAAGGGGAGCUGGACGAACUGCCAUGCAUUUGUUCGCCGGUGAUUUGAGCUGACUGGAGUGGUGGUUAACGGGAUUUUAUCGGCGAAUUUUGCCGAUGGUGAUGGAGUUUUGGGAUUCCGUGAGGCUUUGGUCGCCGGACUUGCUACCAGUGGAGUUCUCCAGUGACUGUUGUUGCAUCGCCGGAGCUUCGGCGAGCUUAACGGUGGUGACUAAUAUCCCCUUUCUCUAAUCUAUUCUCUUUCUCACAUCCUCUUUGCCUCUCCUCUCUUUGUUGUCAUCUUCUCCCUCUAUAAUCUAUUCUUUCUUUCGCGUCUCUGCAUAUUAAUGUCACUGGUGAGUGUUAUCUGAGAGAUCUGUGUGUGCUCUAUAUGUGAAUAUGGUGAUGGAAAGCCUAUGUGUUGGUAUAUCUUGUGAAGGGGAAUAUUGAUGAUGAUGAUGGAGAAUUGUUCCCUUUCUUUCUGUAUGUAUUUUCUAUGGUGAGAAUAUAAUAAUAAUAAUGAUGUGGGUCCCCCCAUGUGAAUGUUGUCUUGUAUAUCAAUGGAAAUGGUGAGGUCCUCAACAAAGUGGAAUAAAAUACGAGGAGUAUGGUAGUGAGGUGGUAUGGGGUAGUGAUGUGUUGUGAUAAAAUUUGUUAGG